rnacentral:lncRNA from 1 species
AACAUGGAGAACAACUCAAGGAGUAAGGGUUUUGUAUUUAGGAUCAGAGACUUGGUUCUCGUAGAACCUAGAGAUAAAAGAAGUUGCUCUUCUAUCGACCCCUGGCUCGAAGCGAUCCAAAGCCGACCAUCUUCAUCACUGGUCAUGAUUCUGGACUUUAUGAUCACUCCUUCUUCGCUCCAAUCUUCUCCAUUGUUUGAGCAGCACGGUAACAAAGCUCUUAUUACUGAAAACGAUGACGAUUUCUUGUACCCACCCAUCUUGAUCUAUGUUAAUGUUAUAUAUGUAUACAUCUAAGUUUUCAUAUUUAUAGGGAGUGAGAGAGAUAGAACAAGAAAUAGCUAGGAAAUUGUGGGGGUGAUAUAUACAAAAGACGACCUCUCGUG